rnacentral:rRNA from 1 species
AUGCAUGUUCGCUCUUUAGAACUAAGUGCAAGUCUUGAUCGUUCAUGUUUCAACUCACUCCUUUCUUCCAUGCCACUGCAGAUAUCGGGCAACAUCACAGAGCACCAUCACCUUUGUAUGUGGAGACUCUGGAAAGCUGGCCUAGCUGCUAGACAACCCAAUGAUCACAUAAGCAGAUGUACGUAUUUCCAACUGACCUUAGAUAAGCUCGUGUUGCGUCGAUGGUUGCAGACACUGAAGAGACAUCCAUGUUUAGCUCCGGCGGCCAUUCUUCAACCCCGAUCUCAUUGGCCAGAUGUUACCGAAAAAGGCUUUCGCCCCGCUUUAUAUAUAAAGCACCAAACCAUAAGCAUCCAGUACAACCACACGCCACGCCACCGCAACACACGCACCCACCCAAGACAGGAUACAUAG